UGACUGUGCUGGGAUUUUGCUUGGGACUGCACUAAAUCAACAGAUCAGUCUGGGGAAGAAUCUGUUUGCAGUCAUCUUCCAGGUGAUAAGCGUGGUGCGUCUCUCCAUGAUGGAGACCUCAGGUGAUAAGCGUGGUGCGUCUCUCCAUAAUGGAGACCUCAGGUGAUAAGCCGUGCGUCUUUCCAUGAUGGAGGCCUCAGGUGAUAAGCGUGGUGUCUUUCUCCAUGAUAAGAGACCUCAGGUGAUAAGCGUGGUGCAUCUCUCCAUGAUGGAGACCUCAGGUGAUAACCGUGGUGCGUCCCUCCAUGAUGGAGACCUCAGGUGAUAACCGUGGUGCAUCCCUCCAUGAUGGAGACCUCAGGUGAUAAGCGUGGUGCGUCUCUCCAUGAUGGAGACCUCAGGUGAUAGAUAAGUGUGGUGUGUCUCUCCGUGAUGGAGACCUU